GGGGCAGGUAAGUCGGGGAGCUGGUCCCUCCCUGUAAGCACAAAUGGACCUAGGUGCGACUAAGCACUGCAGCGGUUAAGUGUAUCAUGUAGCUGGAAAAGACUUAAGUUAUGAUUUUCAGCCCCACAAAGUCAAACUUAUAGAAACCCAGCCAGGCCCGGAAGGGAGCAACUGUAACUAUAAGUUUGAUGUUUGUGGGUAAACUGAAAUGAAUGUAGGUUUUUUCCCUCUCUACAUGGUACACUUGAUCAAUGCAGUGAGCCUGCCCC
rnacentral:SRP_RNA from 1 species